rnacentral:rRNA from 1 species
GAGUUUGAUCAUGGCUCAGAACGUACGCUGGCGGCACGCCUAACACAUGCAAGUCGAACGAAGUAGCAAUACUUAGUGGCAGACGGGUGAGUAACAUGUGGGUAUCUUCCCUUUGGCCUGGAAUAACACGAGGAAACUUGUGCUAAUACCGGAUAAGUCUUUACGGAGAAAGCUUUAUGCACCAUUGGAUGAGCCUGCACUUGAUUAGUUUGUUGGUAGGGUAAUGGCCUACCAAGACUGUGAUCAAUAGCUGAUUUGAGAGGAUGAUCAGCCACAUUGGGACUGAGACACGGCCCAAACUCCUACGGGAGGCAGCAGUGGGGAAUCUUGCACAAUGGAGGAAACUCUGAUGCAGCGAUGCCGCGUGAGUGAGGAAGGCCCUUGGGUUGUAAAGCUCUUUCGUCGGGGAAGAAAAUGACUGUACCCGAAUAAGAAGGUCCGGCUAACUUCGUGCCAGCAGCCGCGGUAAUACGAAGGGACCUAGCGUAGUUCGGAAUUACUGGGCUUAAAGAGUUCGUAGGUGGUUGAAAAAGUUGGUGGUGAAAUCCCAGAGCUUAACUCUGGAACUGCCAUCAAAACUUUUCAGCUAGAGUUUGAUAGAGGAAAGCAGAAUUUCUAGUGUAGAGGUGAAAUUCGUAGAUAUUAGAAAGAAUACCAAUUGCGAAGGCAGCUUUCUGGAUCAAUACUGACACUGAGGAACGAAAGCAUGGGUAGCGAAGAGGAUUAGAUACCCUCGUAGUCCAUGCCGUAAACGAUGUGUGUUAGACGUUGGAAAUUUAUUUUCAGUGUCGCAGCGAAAGCGAUAAACACACCGCCUGGGGAGUACGACCGCAAGGUUAAAACUCAAAUGAUUUGACGGGGACCCGCACAAGUAGUGGAGCAUGUGGUUUAAUUGGAAGAUACGCGCAGAACCUUACCAACACUUGACAUGUUCGUCGCGACUUUAAGAGAUUAAAGUUUUCGGUUCGGCCGGACGAAACACAGGUGGUGCAUGGCUGUCGUCAGCUCGUGUCGUGAGAUGUUGGGUUAAGUCCCGCAACGAGCGCAACCCUCACUUUUGGUUGCCAUCAUUAAGUUGGGCACUCUGAAAGAACUGCCAGUGAUAAGCUGGAGGAAGGUGGGGAUGACGUCAAGUCCUCAAGGCCCUUACGUGUUGGGCUACACACGUGCUACAAUGGUAUUUACAACAGGAAGCAAGACGGCGACGUUAAGCAAAUCCUUAAAAAAUACCUCAGUUCGGAUUGCACUCUGCAACUCGAGUGCAUGAAGCUGGGAUUACUAGUAAUCGUGGAUCAGCGUGCCACGGUGAAUGCGUUCCCGGGUCUUGUACACACCGCCCGUCACACCAUGGGAGUUGGUUCUACCUUAAGGCAAGGCUUUAAACCCUUGACCACGGUAUAGUCAGCGACUGGGGUGAAGUCGUAACAAGGUAACC